rnacentral:rRNA from 1 species
UGGGGGAUAUUGCACAAUGGGCGAAAGCCUGAUGCAGCGACGCCGCGUGGGGGAUGAAGGCCUUCGGGUUGUAAACUUCUUUUGCUCUGAACAAGGCAUGCCUUUGGGGUGUGUUGAGUGUAGGGGUUGAUUAGCGCCGGCUAACUACGUGCCAGCAGCCGCGGUAAUACGUAGGGCGCGAGCGUUGUCCGGAAGUAUUGGGCGUAAAGGGCUUGUAGGUGGCUGGUUGCGUCUGUCGUGAAAGCUCAUGGCUUAACUGUGGGUUUGCGGUGGGUACGGGCUGGCUUGAGUGCAGUAGGGGAGGCUGGAAUUCCUGGUGUAGCGGUGGAAUGCGCAGAUAUCAGGAGGAAUACCGGUGGCGAAGGCGGGUCUCUGGGCUGUUACUGACGCUGAGGAGCGAAAGCGUGGGGAGCGAACAGG